rnacentral:lncRNA from 1 species
CUCGGUCACCAGUCUGGAGUGUAGUGGCGUGAUCUCGGCUCACUGCAACCUCCAUCUCCCAGGUUCAAGCAAUUCUCCUGCCUCAGCCUCCUGAGUAGCUGGGACUACAGGUGCAUGCUGCCACCAUGCCCAGCUCAUUUUUGUAUUUUUAGUAGAGAUGGGGUUUCACCAUUUUGGCCAGGAUGGUCUUGAUCUCCUGACCUUGUGAUCCACAUGCCUCGGCCUCCCAAAGUGCUGGGAUUACAGGUGUGAGCCACCGCGCCCGGACGUAAAGAAAGUUUUAUUGAGACACAGCCAUGCCCAUGAAUGCUUUCAUGCUUCAACAGCAGAAUUAAGUAGUUGCCACAAAGACCUGGCCUGCACAGCCUAAAAUAUGUCUUGGCCAAGAAGUCUGAAUCAACCAUGGUCUCCUCCAAAGACGAGGAGUCAGCUGAAAUGUACCAUCUUCAUGGAAGCCUGCUCUGAUCAUUCCAGAUGAGGAGUUGAAUAUGUACCUAUUAAGUGGUUGUCAGAUCCUUUUCUGAAAAUGGAUAGUUAAUGAUACCACCACUAUCAGGAUGAACAGCAAUUUCCCACUGAUGAAUCGCACCACCACCACCUCUACCACCAUCAUCACCGUCAACUUUCCCUGAGGCUUUUCUACUCUUUCCUCAUCCCCAAUUUCUUUCCGGUGAUUUAACAAAAUGACAAGAGCUUUGGAACAAAGAAGACCCCACUCAAUAACUUCAUAGCUGUGUGACCCUGGGCAAGUCACUUCACCUCUAUGAGGUUAAGUUUCCUCAUCUGUUAGAUGGGUUUUUUGUAAAAACUACAAGGCACCUAGGCAAGGAUUGUCACAUGUGUGGAGAUCUGAAUAAAUGGUGGCUUAUUUUCACGGUGUGGACAAAUCAGUCAGCAUACCUUGCUGAUUUCCAUUUUAAUGUCCUGAAGUGUUUCAUUCACUCGAAUGGAGCGGACCACCAUGAUUUCUCUUCAUGAAUUUUGGUUUCCCAGUUGAACAAUACUGCUUGAGGCCUCUAAGCCAAAAAUGUGGGCUUUCAGCGAUCUAGGCCACCACAUCUGGCAAGAAGAACAAAGCUGUCCUGACACGCUGGGUGGGGAUUUGUCCCUGUGUGACCCUCUUAGCCCCACUUCCAACCAUCUGGUUACCCAGAGAGUUGACUGGGCAUGAGGCAAGAGGCAAGAGGCUUUGCCAUGAACCAGCUUAAGGAAAUAGAAACUCUCAUUCUUUUUUUUUUUUUGUCAGGAAAACAUGAAAAAUCACAUCAUAUGUGAGGCAAUACUCUGGGAUGCUAACCUAGUCUUUAGUGUUCCUGUUUCCUUUGAUAAUCUACUUCAGUAAAUGGAAACUAAAUUGCUCCAUUAAAUUUCUAAACACUACAUUAAGAAGAUAAACAGACAAAACAAAAACCUCUCAGUCUGCAAGGGAUAAAUCCAAAACCAAACAGUGGGACACAAUGUUCUCCAGAAACAAUUAGACUUGACUUUCACACCAAAAAAAAUGUAAUCAUCAGUGAUGUCUUAGAAUUGCAGGGUUUUGAAUGAAACUUAAGAAUGAAACUAUGGUGCUCAAAAGCACUAACUCAUGGUGGUUACUGUUAUCCCCCAAAGAUCAUUUCAUUCUGGUAACCCAAUGAGGUAGGUACUAUUUUUCUUUCCAUUUAAUAGGUGACAAAACUGAGGCACAGUGAGGUUAGUAACAUAACUAGCAAGUGUGAGACACCGGAAUUUUAACAUGGUUCAUAGCUACCAUGCUGUUUUGCCUCUCAUGAUCUGGAAGUGACUCCAGUGCUCAGUGCCAGGGGAAGCCCAGGCUCCUAUUUGAGCAGGCUCCCAAGACACCAAGGGUCUAUCAAGUUGCCAAGGAAAAACUCAUUCAGGCUCAGGACAUCAGUUUCUAAAGUGCAUUCCCAUACCCUAGGUAUCUGGAAAUCCAUCAUAACCUUAAGUAUUAAUAGUAUAUUUAUCCCCAUUUCACGGCCACAGGAACUAAGGCUGUUGAAAGUUAAACAACUUUUCUGAGUUUGGACACAUCAUCUACAUUUCUCAUCUAAUUCCCAGACACUGUUCUUUCCCUGAUGACAUAUAUCCAAGUUUAAGCACAACCAAGCAAGGGUUGAGAAAGCUUCAGACAUUUACAAAGCUCCCUUCAUACCUAGUACUGUGCUUAGACCAGGAACACAGGGAGGUAGAGGGCAGCAGAGCAGGGACUGGCUUCAGAGCCAGACAGGUGGCUAUGUGACUUAAUGUGUCUGAACCCUGGUAUCCUAGUCUAUUAAAUGGUAUAACAGCAGCUUCUAGUAUGUAAGUUCCUUGUCAGGAGAAAAACUGUUUUGCUCAUGGCUGGAGCCUUAGCAUGUUGCAUCAUAUUGAACAUGUAAUAGAUGCUCAAUAAAUAUAU